GUCGCUGUAGCACAAUUGGUAGCGCGUCGCACGCGUAAUGCGAAGGUUGUGGGUUCGGUCCCCACCGGCGACA